GAGUAAUGUCUGGGAAACUGCCUGAUGGAGGGGGAUAACUACUGGAAACGGUGGCUAAUACCGCAUAACGUCGCAAGACCAAAGAGGGGGACCUUCGGGCCUCUUGCCAUCAGAUGUGCCCAGAUGGGAUUAGCUUGUUGGUGAGGUAACGGCUCACCAAGGCGACGAUCCCUAGCUGGUCUGAGAGGAUGACCAGCCACACUGGAACUGAGACACGGUCCAGACUCCUACGGGAGGCAGCAGUGGGGAAUAUUGCACAAUGGGCGCAAGCCUGAUGCAGCCAUGCCGCGUGUAUGAAGAAGGCCUUCGGGUUGUAAAGUACUUUCAGCGGGGAGGAAGGUGUUGCGGUUAAUAACCGCAGCAAUUGACGUUACCCGCAGAAGAAGCACCGGCUAACUCCGUGCCAGCAGCCGCGGUAAUACGGAGGGUGCAAGCGUUAAUCGGAAUUACUGGGCGUAAAGCGCACGCAGGCGGUCUGUCAAGUCGGAUGUGAAAUCCCCGGGCUCAACCUGGGAACUGCAUUCGAAACUGGCAGGCUUGAGUCUUGUAGAGGGGGGUAGAAUUCCAGGUGUAGCGGUGAAAUGCGUAGAGAUCUGGAGGAAUACCGGUGGCGAAGGCGGCCCCCUGGACAAAGACUGACGCUCAGGUGCGAAAGCGUGGGGAGCAAACAGGAUUAGAUACCCUGGUAGUCCACGCCGUAAACGAUGUCUACUUGGAGGUUGUGCCCUUGAGGCGUGGCUUCCGGAGCUAACGCGUUAAGUAGACCGCCUGGGGAGUACGGCCGCAAGGUUAAAACUCAAAUGAAUUGACGGGGGCCCGCACAAGCGGUGGAGCAUGUGGUUUAAUUCGAUGCAACGCGAAGAACCUUACCUGGUCUUGACAUCCACAGAACUUUCCAGAGAUGGAUUGGUGCCUUCGGGAACUGUGAGACAGGUGCUGCAUGGCUGUCGUCAGCUCGUGUUGUGAAAUGUUGGGUUAAGUCCCGCAACGAGCGCAACCCUUAUCCUUUGUUGCCAGCGAUUAGGUCGGGAACUCAAAGGAGACUGCCAGUGAUAAACUGGAGGAAGGUGGGGAUGACGUCAAGUCAUCAUGGCCCUUACGACCAGGGCUACACACGUGCUACAAUGGCGCAUACAAAGAGAAGCGACCUCGCGAGAGCAAGCGGACCUCAUAAAGUGCGUCGUAGUCCGGAUUGGAGUCUGCAACUCGACUCCAUGAAGUCGGAAUCGCUAGUAAUCGUGGAUCAGAAUGCCACGGUGAAUACGUUCCCGGGCCUUGUACACACCGCCCGUCACACCAUGGGAGUGGGUUGCAAAAGAAGUAGGUAGCUUAACCUUCGGGAGGGCGCUUACCACUUUGUGAUUCAUGACUGGGGUGAAGUCGUAACAAGGUAACCGUAGGGGAACCUGCGGUUGGAUCACCUCCUUACCUUAAAGAAGC
rnacentral:rRNA from 1 species